GGUAAAAUGGCCGAUAAAAGCAUUAGACUGUAAAUCUAAUUAUGAGGGUUAAGUCCUUCUUUUACCA
rnacentral:tRNA from 1 species